rnacentral:rRNA from 1 species
AUUGAACGCUGGCGGCAGGCCUAACACAUGCAAGUCGAGCGGAGCGGCGGGCGGGGGAGUAAUGCCUAGGAAUCUGCCUGGUGGUGGGGGGUGACGUCCGGAAACGGGCGCAACUAACGCAUACAAUCAGAUGAGCCUAGGUCGGAUUAGCUAGUUGGUGGGGUAAAGGCCUACCAGGGCGACGAUCAGUAACUGGUCUGAGAGGAUGAUCAGUCCCACUGGAACUGAGACACGGUCCAGAAUCCUACGGGAGGAAGCAGUGGGGAAUAUUGGACAAUGGGCGAAAGCCUGAUCCAGACAGGCCGCGUGUGUGAAGAAGGUCUUCGGAUGGUAAAGCACGUUAAGUUGGGAGGCGUUACCAACAGAAUAAGCACCGGCUAACUUCGUGCCAGCCGCCGCGGUAAUAC